GAGAGAUGGCUCAGUGGUUAAGAGCACUGACUGCAAUUUCAGAGGUCCUGAGUUCAAUUCCCAGCAACUACA
rnacentral:tRNA from 1 species